rnacentral:rRNA from 1 species
UACGUAGGUGACAAGCGUUGUCCGGAUUUACUGGGCGUAAAGAGCGCGCAGGCGGUCGACCAAGUCGAGUGUGAAAGCCCCCGGCUCAACUGGGGAGGGUCAUUCGAUACUGAUCGACUCGAAGGCAGGAGAGGGUAGUGGAAUUCCCGGUGUAGUGGUGAAAUGCGUAGAUAUCGGGAGGAACACCAGUGGCGAAGGCGACUACCUGGCCUGUUCUUGACGCUGAGGCGCGAAAGCUAGGGGAGCAAACGGGG